GUGAGGAAUUUUCCGCAAUGGGCGAAAGCCUGACGGAGCAAUGCCGCGUGAAGGAUGAAGGCCUAUGGGUUGUAAACUUCUUUUCUCAGAAAAGAAUUAUGACGGUAUCUGAGGAAUAAGCAUCGGCUAACUCUGUACCAGCAGCCGCGGUAAGACAGAGGAUGCAAGCGUUAUCCGGAAUGAUUGGGCGUAAAGCGUCUGUAGGUUGUUUAAAAAGUAUUCUGUCAAAGAUUAGGGCUUAACCCUAGAUAGGCAGAAUAAACUUUUAAGCUAGAGUUUGGUAGAGGCAGAGGGAAUUCCCGGUGGAGCGGUGAAAUGCGUAGAUAUCGGGAGGAACACCAAAGGCGAAGGCACUCUGCUGGGCCAAUACUAACACUGAGAGACGAAAGCGAGGGGAGCAAAUGGGAUUAGAAACCCCAGUAGUCC
rnacentral:rRNA from 1 species